rnacentral:rRNA from 1 species
UACGUAGGGGGCAAGCGUUGUCCGGAAUCAUUGGGCGUAAAGAGCGUGUAGGCGGCCCGAUAAGUCCGCUGUGAAAGUCCAGGGCUCAACCCUGGAAUGCCGGUGGAUACUGUCGGGCUCGAGUUCGGAAGAGGUGAGUGGAAUUCCUGGUGUAGCGGUGAAAUGCGUAGAUAUCAGGAGGAACACCGGUGGCGAAGGCGGCUCUCUGGACCACAACUGACGCUGAGGCGCGAAAGCUAGGGGAGCAAACAGG